UGUUUGGUCACUCACACUCAUACUCACAGUGUGGUAGUUUGAUGAAUGUUGGUUUUAGGGCUAGAAGAGGCAAUGUGAUUGGCUGAAUGUUGGUUUUAGGACUAGUAAACAGCUCUGAUCGGAAAAGCUGGCAAAUGGCCUGAUCAGCAGUGAAACCUAACAUAUGGUGUUACAUAUCCAAGUGGAAUGGUGUUAUUAGAUGAAUGGUGAGGCAUGAAAGGUUUUAUAGCCCCUCUUAAUGGCAAAAGGUUUUCAGGGAUUUUUAGCUUUGAUCAGAAGACCUACAGAGUGGAACAAUAAUUGGGAAUCAGCGAGAGGCCUCAGGAGAAAAGACAAACUCACUGAUGAAUUAUCUCUCUCUCUCUCUCUCUCUCUAUCUAUCUCUAUUUCACCAGGAACUUGUGAAGAAAAAAAGAAUUUAAAAAAUCAUGUUUUUCUAUGUUAUAGAAGAGUUAUAGGAGAGGUAAAGGUCCGGGUUCUAAGUGAUGUGUGCGGUCCAAGGUUUAAGGCUACACACACACACACACACACACACACACACGCGCACCCUGAAGAUCUACAGUACUCUACUGUGUCAUGGUAGUGUCUUACAUACUGUAAAAAUAUACUGAGAACAUACUGAGAAAUAUGCCUCUUUUUCCUAAAUAGUUUAUUUUCCGUCUGUGUUUUCACGACCCUUUGACCUUGACUGAAGAAUAGUAUUGAGACAUGGGAAUGAAUCAGAGAGAGUGAGUAAAGAGCAUGUAAAGAGAGAGAGAGAGGUUCCCCCAGCCACAUUAUAAUUCACACGGGCACAAAUCACCUGAGGGCCCAGCAUGAAAGUGUCUCAACAGCACUGAUAAAGCUUCUUCCACUUUCCAGAAGUGUUUAUAUCCACCCUGCUAGCACGAAAAUACUUUCACCCUGCCACCAUACAGUGGGUGAAUGCAAGAGACUGUUCCUCAAAACCUAAUGUCUACCUGGCUCACCACUCCACCCUGGACUUGAACAACCUUUACGACCAGGUCCACCGAAACAAGGCAGCAAUCCCAACUUUUGCCAGGACCCUGAAUGACAUCACUCUCAACCUUAGCCUCAGCACCUCACAGGAACAACAGAGCAACGGACACCCCGCACAGAACAGCGAGACACCGUCCCAGACCUCCAAGACCCCCUCCCCGAAGUCCCUGCACUGAGAGAACACACACAAAGAGGACCUACACCCAGACCACAGCAUCACCAGCCACACCCCAACCAGCUAAGACCACCCCAAGCAAACCCUAGCCACACCCUAUAUAGGCCCCCCCCAUAUCAGACUUAUGCCCCUUCUACCCACCCCAUGCCCCACGUGGCAAGGACCUCAACAUGACAGCAGGACAUAUGCCCAGGCCGGUAGCAGAGCAACAUGCCCAAACCCCAAUAUUACACCCGCCCAAGCCCAUCCUGCGACCUGAGAGGUUUUUAUCAGAUGCUCAACAUGCUCUGCUCACACCUACUGUGAUGGUCCAGGCCUAAACUACACAAAAACAACACUGAACACAAAGCAUUUACUCUCUCAUCCUGGAAUAUACAAGUUCUGAGGUCAUCUGGCUUUGGCCUAAAAAGCAGGAACCCGAACUUCAUCAAAGAAAUUGGAAAUACAGACAUUGUCAUCCUACAAGAAACAUGGUAUAAAGGAGACGGACCCACUGGUUUCCCUCUAGGUUACAGAGAGCUGGUAGUCCCAUCCACCAAACUACUAGGUGUGAAACAGGGAAGAGACUCAGGGGGUAUGCUAAUUUGGUAUAGAGCAGACCUAACCCACUCUAUUAAUUUAGUCAAAACAGGAACAACAGUUCAAUCCAGUUUCAUAAUAUGACCAUAUUUCCCAGCUGCUUGCCGUCGUUUUGAAAUAAUUGCAAAAAAACAGGCCUUAUUUUUGUGCAUUUUUCACUCUGCCAGCUCCUAUUAGUUGUAUUAAGCACUGUGACACCAACUCGCCUUCUGAACGUUCUAUUCCCAGCUUAAUGUUCAAAGUCACUAUGCCUGCUUCGCUAUUGUUGGCAAUGAGACGUGCUCACGUUGUUUUAUAGUUAAAAUGUAAACAACAAAAAUAAUUGCAACUCUGCGGUCUUCCCAUUGUUUCCUAUGGGGGAAAUAUAGGCAUGUCUGUCUAUUUCGCCAAAUAUCUCGCAAUGUGUAUUUUGGGAUUAUUUUCAAGUCGGGUGUAACCGGUGUGAAAUGGCUAGCUAGUUAGCGGGUGCACGUUAAUAGCAUUUCAAUCGGUGACGUCACUCGCUCAGAGACCUUGAAGUAGUUGUUCCCCUUGCUCUGCAAGGUGCCGCGGCUUUUGUGGAGCGAUGGGUAACGAUGCUUCAAGGGUGGCUGUUGUCUAUGUGUGCAGAGGCUCCCUGGUUCGAGCCCAGGUAGUGGCGUGGAGAGGGAUAGAAGCAAAACUGUAACACGGGCACCAUUUUAAUCAGGAGAAUCUCCUCUUUGAAAUGAUGUAAGUCUGGGCAGCGAGCUCGUUUGUCAUCGAUCGCAAGACAAGAUAUAUACGUUUUUAUUUUCCCUACUUUUUCAUGACGCAGACAUAAGCACAGUUGCCACCAUCGAGGUGCGGAUGUUGACUUUCUACACAAGUCAUUUUUUUCCAGUUUCGUCCGACAAGCAGAUUGUAAUGGUAAAAUAAAAGAAGAUAAUUUUUUUAAUGGAAUUCUAAGCAUCACUCCAGUCAAAACAGGUUCUGCGAACAUUCCAUUCCAUUCAUUAGCUAUGGGCACGCUCUAGUGUUCCAGUUUAGCCAAGCCGUUUUUCAGCGUUGGGUGAAUUUUGACUCAUUCUCUUGUCCAGCCUAUAGAUAGCCAGAGCGAAUUUACAAAAACACCCGAAUGUCCAUUGAGAAAGCACAACGACUGUACCAUUUAGCUAAGCUAAGAAUGACGAGAAUAAUCAAGUCAACAAACGUUGGGUAGUUAGAUAGUUCAUUUACUGGCAAGUUUGAUGUAUAACUACUAUCGUUAGGUAGCUAGCUAACAUACCGGUACAUACUGUAAUGAUAUGCUAUGUGGUUCAUAAGGACAGCGUAGCUAACAAAUUGUCAGCCAACAUAACGUUUAAGGUAAUUUAUUUGAAAAGUUAUGACUUUAUUACAUUGAGUAGCAAGCUACCCCUUGGUUGUUAGGGCAAAUCUGGUCUGUGAUAGGAGUUUUUUUCUCACAUCUAGCUUGGCUAUUAGACUAUUCUUUAGUAAAGGUUGAAUAGUCUGUUGUUCAGCUAUUAGCCCUCCUCCCCAACUUGCAACAAAUUGCUGUUCCCAUCUCAUUCCUUUCCCUCUUCCACGUGUCAUCAUUCAUCAUUCUCAGUGGCUCGCUUGUGGGCGUGCAGGCAGGAUAUGGCAGCAUCUUCGGUUGUGCAUCAAGAAUUGUGCAUACAGUAGCACGUUUGUAUGAAGGUUUGGUUAUUCUCAGGCAAAUUGUUAUGUGCUAUGGAGGUACAUUUGUGUCUUUUUGUCAAGAGAGAAACCUUUUUUAGUUUCAAUCAAAAAUAAUUGUUCUGUGAAAGCAACCUUUUUCCAACACAAAGGAAGUCAAAGUGGACACCUAUGAAGAUGACAUCUCAGGUAAGCAGUACUGGGCUGUAUUGAAGAUGGCAUCUCAUCAGGUAAGCAGCACUGGGCUGUAUUGAAGAUGGCAUCUCAUCAGGUAAGCAGCACUGGGCUGUACUGAAGAUGGCAUCUCAUCAGGUAAGCAGCACUGGGCUGUAUUGAAGAUGGCAUCUCAUCAGGUAAGCAGCACUGGGCUGUAUUGAAGAUGACAUCUCAGGUAAGCAGUACUGGGCUGUAUUGAAGAUGGCAUCUCAUCAGGUAAGCAGCACUGGGCUGUAUUGACGUAUCCUAAAAAUGCUAUCUGCUGAUUUAGAUUGAACGGUUAUAUCUCAGUUAUUGUUUUCAUAUCGAUAAAAAAUAAGCUGUUUUCUUUAAUUUCAGAGUGUGAGCUGAUCAAGGGGUUGAAAAGAUAGAUAUUGCCAGAUGUUCACUGUCCAAGGAACAGGCCGUGGAAGCUUUAUUGCUAGCAAAAAUGUCCAUAACCAGAGGUAAUUAAACUGUUCUGUGUUCAUUUUCUCCAACUCUGCCUGUCUUGUUGUACAUGGAACCUGUCUCAUAUGCAUUAAUUAAAAAACCCAUAAGAUGUCAGGUGCUAAUUUUCAGAUUUACACCACAUUAACACAGCCAUUUUCACUGGACUAUCUGUUGCUAUCUGUUGCUGCCAAGUCAUGAUUUCCCUGGGGGUUAGCCUUGCAAUAACCAAGUGGUGAGACACAUAGCCCUCUAUAUUUAAAUGUUUCAGGUCCACUCUGAUAGAUGUCUGCGACACAUACAGUAUCUUCUAUUGACAUUAUCUUCUACUGUUUGUUCUCAUGUGUCUGUUUUUCAGCAUAAAGUACUCUGUAGCCACUUAGUGUGGACACCAGGUGAGACCACACAAUAACAGUCUCUCUUCUUCACUUCAUCCCUCUCCCCCUUCUCCCUAAACCCUCAAGGUUAUAUCAGCUGUUUUGGUGAACCCCUCCCACAUCUGAACUGACUGACACAGAGGGCACAGCAUGAUCAUAGGUGAGAUGUUACUUGGUCGGGUUAACAGGAAGUAUUAUUAAAGAGAUGCUUUACAUUGAAAUACAGACAGAUGUACUAGUCCCAGAGUUAAUGAUCCAAGGUCAGUUUUGCAUUUCACCUCCUGAUGAUUAUGAUGACUGACUGUGUUAGAAUAAAAAAAAUAAGGCUUAAUCAUGUUCUCUCUCUAUCCAUCUGUCUCUCGUCUUCAGGUACGUUUAGAUGUGAGAGCCAGUCCCGUCAUCGCCACCUCACCUGCUCUUAAGAUAUCUUUCGGGCCAACUGGGGGCCCAAGGCUGGUCAGGACAAUUGUGAUGAACUGAGAGAAUGUUAGGGCAUCACUGUAAUUCAUGAGUCAUAUGCUGUCUACCGCUGUUCUUACCUCUCCCUUUCUGUCUUCUAUACCUCUCGCCACACCUCAUCUUUCUUCCUCGUUUUAUAAUGCACACCACAUGUGCAUUGAAGUACAGAUUGAACUUGUAUUUAUAAUAUAGUAUUACAAUUAUCAUAAUUAUUAUGCAUUUAUGUAACUUUUUUCAAUAAAGCAUUUCACAUUCACCACUGGUUGAAAUGAAAUAUCUAAUUGAAAUACUAUCCUGUGUCCUCAGAUGAAUGCAGAUGAAAGGAGUUAGAUAUGCAUCGUUUUUUUUCUGUAUAUACAGUUGAAGUUGGAAGUUUACAUACACCUUAGCCAAAUACAUUUAAACUCAGUUUUUCACAAUUCCUGACAUUUAAUCCUAGUAAAAAUUCCCUGUCUUAGGUCAGUUAUGAACACCACUUUAUUUUAAGAAUGUGAAAUGUCAGAAUAAUAGUAGAGAGAAUGAUUUAUUUCAGCUUUUAUUUCUUUCAUCACAUUCCCAGUGGGUCAGAAAUUUACAUACUCUCAAUUAGUAUUUGGUAGCAUUGCCUUUAAAUUGUUGAACUUGGGUCAAAUGUUUCGGGUAGCCUUCCACAAGCUUCCCACAAUAAAUUGGGUG
rnacentral:lncRNA from 13 species